rnacentral:tRNA from 1 species
GCACCCGUCGUUCAAUGGAUAGGACACUGGCCUGCGAAGCCGGAAAUCCAGGUUCGACUCCUGGCGGGUGCA